GCCUCUACUCCAUUUCACAGAGUGCUUCGAGUUGCAGUCCGUUUCUACAGGUUUUGCAUAUGUUUGGGUGAGGGUCACGCAAUGACUUUUGCGGAGGGGCAAAUUUAGAUAUUGCUGCCUGGCAGGCGGUGGGGAAGGGAAAGGGGUGAAGGCCUAACGAGAUGGAGUAGAGGUGUUUGGCAGUGAAGAGGCCCACCUUAGCCCAGCGCCUGGGAUGGGAAACCGAAAACACUUGGGUUCUGUAAAAUGGACACACAGAGUUGAAUAGUGACAUUUUACAUUAACAGCCCUACUCACGAGUGGGCGUGGAAGGAAUUUUUUUUUAAAUAAAUCUACAAGGCAUUUUAUUUCUUGAUUUUUGUUGUUGUUUUGAGACAGGGUCUCUGUAUCGACCAGGCUGGCCUCAAACUCACAGAGAUCCACUUGCCUCUGUCUCCAGUGCUGGGAUUAAAGGUGUAUAACCACCUUCAGGCUUGGUUGUUAUUCUUUUUAAAAGUGAAUACUUAAACCAUUUUCCAUUUUCUCCUACUUUCACUAUUUUACUUCAGCCCCCACCCCCCACCCCUUUAUAUGUAGACUUAACCUUUUGGACGUUUUGGAUAUUUGUAGCCAAACGAGGCCAAACGAGGAAGGAAACUGUAAGUUCCAAAUUGUAGGGAAGGCCUGAGCCCGUAAGAUCACCUAAGCAGAAAGCCUGAUGACCUGAGUUCAAUCCCGAGGUACUUGAAUAGACGUGGAAGAAAAGCCACCACACUCUUACCCCCUAGACACAUCAUGCACACAUAAAAGACAAUGACAAUUUUUUAAUCUUACAAGGAACUUAAAAUAGUUUGAGGAUUAAAACUAUUUUAACUUUUGUUUUCCAAUCUGAGUUCUUUAACUGCAUCAAGGUUGUACUAAGGGAAGCCUUAAGACUCCUGUUAUUUUUUAUUCAUUAAUUUAUUUAUAGCACGACUGUGGGCAUGCCACAGUAUUUGUGUGGAGGCCAGAAGAUAAAUGUCUGGAGUUGAUUCUCUCCUUCUACCUUCCAUGGGUUCCAAGGUCAAACUCUGGUCAUCAGGUGUUGAUAUGUCUUUACCUGCUGAACCCUCUGACUGGUCCUACUCCUGUUAUGUCUCUUUGUGUUUAGAAUGAAAGCUCUUUAAGAAAAAAGAUACCUUUUAAAAAAAUGCUGUGGGGCUGGAGAGAUGGCUCAGUGGUUAAGAGCACUGACUGCUCUUCCAGAGGUCCUGAGUUUGAUUCCCAGCCACCACAUGGUGGCUCACAACCAUCUGUCAUGGAAUCCAGUACUGUUUUCUGGUGUGUCUGAAGACAGCUACAGUGUACUCACAUACAUAAAAUAAAUAAAUCUU
ensembl:lncRNA